GACGAACGCUGGCGGCGUGCUUAACACAUGCAAGUCGAACGGAAAGGCCCUGCUUGCAGGGUACUCGAGUGGCGAACGGGUGAGUAACACGUGGGUGAUCUGCCCUGCACUUCGGGAUAAGCCUGGGAAACUGGGUCUAAUACCGGCUAGGAGCCAUUUUUAGUGUGAUGGUUGGAAAGUUUUUUCGGUGUAGGAUGAGCUCGCGGCCUAUCAGCUUGUUGGUGGGGUAAUGGCCUACCAAGGCGGCGACGGGUAGCCGGCCUGAGAGGGUGGACGGCCACAUUGGGACUGAGAUACGGCCCAGACUCCUACGGGAGGCAGCAGUGGGGAAGAUUGAACAAUGGGCGCAAGCCUGAUGCAGCGACGCCGCGUGGGGGAUGACGGCCUUCGGGUUGUAAACUCCUUUCGCUAGGGACGAAGCUUUUUGUGACGGUACCUAGAUAAGAAGCACCGGCUAACUACGUG
rnacentral:rRNA from 1 species